UACGUAGGCAGCGAGCGUUGUUCGGAAUUACUGGGCGUAAAGAGUGUGUAGGCGGUGUUCCCAGUCUGUUGUGAAAUCCCCCGGCUUAACUGGGAGGGUGCAGCGGAAACUAGAAUGCUAGAGGGUGGGAGAGGUAAGCGGAAUUCCUGGUGUAGCGGUGAAAUGCGUAGAUAUCAGGAGGAACACCUGUGGCGAAAGCGGCGCACUGGACCACAACUGACGCUGAGGCGCGAAAGCUAGGGGAGCAAACAGG
rnacentral:rRNA from 1 species